UACGUAGGGUGCGAGUGUUACUCGGAAUUACUGGGCGUAAAGCGUGCGCAGGCGGUUUUGUAAGCCAGAUGUGAAAUCCCCGGGCUUAACCUGGGAAUGGCAUUUGGGACUGCAAGGCUCGAGUGCGGCAGAGGAGACUGGAAUUCCUGGUGUAGCAGUGAAAUGCGUAGAUAUCAGGAGGAACACCGAUGGCGAAGGCAGGUCUCUGGGCUGACACUGACGCUCAUGCACGAAAGCGUGGGGAGCAAACAGG
rnacentral:rRNA from 1 species